rnacentral:snRNA from 1 species
GUGCUCACUUCAGCAGCACAUGUGCUAAAACUGGAAUGACACAGAGAAAAUGAGCCUGGCCCCUGUGCAAGGAUGACACACAAAUUCAUGAAACGUUCCAUAUGUAA